AACGAACGCUGGCGGCAGGCCUAACACAUGCAAGUCGAGCGAGGACUUCGGUCCUAGCGGCGGACGGGUGAGUAACGCGUGGGAACGUGCCCUUUGCUUCGGAAUAGCCCUGGGAAACUGGGAGUAAUACCGGAUGAGCCCUUUGGGGGAAAGAUUUAUCGGCGAAGGAUCGGCCCGCGUUGGAUUAGGUAUUUGGUGGGGUAAUGGCCGACCAAGCCGACGAUCCAUAGCUGGUUUGAGAGGAUGAUCAGCCACACUGGGACUGAGACACGGCCCAGACUCCUACGGGAGGCAGGAGUGGGGAAUCUUAGACAAUGGGGGAAACCCUGAUCUAGCCAUGCCGCGUGAGCGAUGAAGGCCUUAGGGUUGUAAAGCUCUUUCAGCUGGGAAGAUAAUGACGGUACCAGCAGAAGAAGCCCCGGCUAACUACGUG
rnacentral:rRNA from 1 species